CCCUUGACAUGGUCGGAACCCUUGAGAGAUCAGGGGGUGCUCGAAAGAGAACCGAUACACAGGUGCUGCAUGGCUGUCGUCAGCUCGUGUCGUGAGAUGUUGGGUUAAGUCCCGCAACGAGCGCAACCCUUGUCCUUAGUUACCAGCACGUAAUGGUGGGCACUCUAAGGAGACUGCCGGUGACAAACCGGAGGAAGGUGGGGAUGACGUCAAGUCAUCAUGACCCUUACGGCCUGGGCUACACACGUGCUACAAUGGUCGGUACAGAGGGUUGCCAAGCCGCGAGGUGGAGCUAAUCUCACAAAACCGAUCGUAGUCCGGAUCGCAGUCUGCAACUCGACUGCGUGAAGUCGGAAUCGCUAGUAAUCGCGAAUCAGAAUGUCGCGGUGAAUACGUUCCC
rnacentral:rRNA from 1 species